CGAAGGCAAGCGGAUCUCUUAAAGCNGUUCUCAGUUCGGACUGCAGUCUGCAACUCGACUGCACGAAGCUGGAAUCGCUAGUAAUCGCGGAUCAGCACGCCGCGGUGAAUGCGUUCCCGGGCCUUGUACACACCGCCCGUCAAGUCAUGAAAGUGGGCAGCACCCGAAGACGGUGGCCUAACCCUUGUGGGGGGAGCCGUCUAAGGUGAGGCUCGUGAUUGGGACUAAGUCGUAACAAGGUAUC
rnacentral:rRNA from 1 species